rnacentral:rRNA from 1 species
GUAGGUGGGCAAGCGUUGUCCCGGGAAUUAUUGGGCGUAAAGCGCGCGCAGGGCGGUCCUUUAAGUCUGAUGUGAAAGCCCACGGCUCAACCGUGGAGGGUCAUUGGAAACUGGGGGACUUGAGUACAGAAGAGGAAAGCGGAAUUCCAAGUGUAGCGGUGAAAUGCGUAGAGAUUUGGAGGAACACCAGUGGCGAAGGCGGCUUUCUGGUCUGUAACUGACGCUGAGGCGCGAAAGCGUGGGGAGCAAACAGGAUUAGAUACCCUGGUAGUCCACGCCGUAAACGAUGAGUGCUAAGUGUUAGGGGGUUUCCGCCCCUUAGUGCUGCAGCUAACGCAUUAAGCACUCCGCCUGGGGAGUACGGCCGCAAGGCUG